rnacentral:snoRNA from 1 species
UUGGCUAUACUUUCAGGAAUCAUUUCUGUAGUAUCCAACUAGAGAAAUGCACUUGAAAGUGAUUGGCUGAACGU